AGCAUAAGCUAGUAAGACCCCUUGAAGAACACAAGGUUGAUAGGUCAGAGGUGUAAGUGUGGUAACAUAUUUAGCUGACUGAUACUAAUAGGUCGAGGGCUUGACCAA
rfam:Clostridium sp. 7_2_43FAA genomic scaffold supercont2.2, whole genome shotgun sequence.